AACGAACGCUGGCGGCGUGCCUAACACAUGCAAGUCGAACGAGACGUUCGGGUCUAGUGGCGCACGGGGGCGUCAGGAGUGGGGAGCUGCACUUGGGUUCGGAAUAACUCCCCGAAAGGGGUGCUAAUACAGGAUAAUGUCUUAGGACAAAAGAUUUAUUGCCUUUGGGUGGGCGCGCGUUGGAUUAGGGGGUUGGUAGUGUAAAAGCCUACCAAGGAGAGGAUGCACAGCUGGUCUGUGAGGAUGAUCAGCAACGCUUGGAAUGCGACCCGGACCAGAAUCCUACGCAAGGGAGGAGAGUGUAAUAUAGUACAAGGGGGGAAGGCCUGAUCCAGCAAUGCCGGGUGAGUGAUGAAGCGCGUAGGGUUCUAAAGUCCUUUUACCCGGGAUGUUAAUGACGGUACCGGGUGAAUAAGCUCCGGCUAACUCCGUG
rnacentral:rRNA from 1 species